CUCUAUGCAGCCGGGCGACUGGAAGCCUCGAGAGAUGGCUGCGAGAAGACGAAUGUCUGGCAGUCCUUGUUUUCUUCACUUUUAUGGCUUACCGUUAAUUAUAUGGCGACCUGUUUAAGAAAAAUGAUUUGAUGGAGUGGUUAAUCAGACCAGAAGGAGCCUCACCAACAAAUGUUGGUGACUGAACUAGCUACCAGCUCGGUCUCAUGCAGAUGAGGGCAAGUGUGGAGGAGAGGCAGUAUGGACUUGAGACCUGGAGAUGAGGUCCUUGAUCAAACCGGCUGAGAGAGAGGAGCACAGGAGCUGAAGUGGAGUUGUGGCUAGCUCUGUGAAAAGAUGGUGUGAGCUGGUUCUCAGAUUACCAGAAUAGCAUGCUGAUGUCAAAGUUCUUGUUUGCAUCAGUGGAAAUGUAUUUAUAGUUGGGAGUAUAAGAUUGAAAUUGUUUUGGCUAAGAGAAGGAUGUGGUAUGUGCAAAUGUGUAACUCUAAAUGUUUGACUUUUUCUUUCUUUUCUUUUUUUUUAGUCAACAUUAAACUUGAACUGUCCUAACUGUG